GGAGUCGCUGUAUGCGGGCGGAAGCGGAGGACGCGACCUGUCCUCCUCCCUGAGGGCGGCGGUGGGGGAAGGCCAGCGGGGAGCUCGAGGAGGCCUACACACCACCGCUUGGGCUACCGCCAUGUUUCUAAUGAUCUCUGAGACGUUCCAGCACAUUUUGUGGCUACGCAACGACAAUAGCCUUUGCCAACACUGCAAUUAAGGGUGUGAGGUGAAGAUGUGCUCAUGUGGUUUUGAAGAAAGCAGACGUUGACCUCACCAAGAAGGCACGAGAGCUCACUAAGGAUGAGGUGGAACGUGUAAUCACCACUAUGCAAAAUCCACACCAGUACAAGAUCCGAGACUGGUUCUGAAACAGACGGAAGGACGUGAAGGAUGGGAACUACAGCCAGGUCCUGGCCAAUGGUCUGGACAACAAACUCUGUGAAGACCCGCAACGACUGAAGAAAAUUACACCAUUUCUGGGGACUUCGAGGCCAGCACAGCAAGACCACCGGCCGCCGAGGCUGCACUGUGGGUGUGUCCAAGAAGAAAUAAAUCUGUAGGCUUUGUCUGAUAAUAAAUAGUUUCUACACUUUAAAAAAUCAAAUGAAAAUAAAAACAACAAACAAUAAAUUGAUUUUUCAUUUA